UAUCAGCAUCCUGCGAGCACCACAUGGCCUAGUAUUAAACCUGUAUUACCAGUGCAUAUGCAAUUAUUAAACCUGUAUUACCAGUGCAUAUGAAAUACCAAGUCAUGAAAGAUCUGCUUCAGAUGCCCUUGGUACUACUUUCCCACAUGUGAGCUUGGGUAACAUGAUUUAAGUUUGGGGUUUAAGUCACUUCUGAAAAUUAAACUUGGGCUCCCAAAUUACUGUAACUUCUGCCAUUUGCUGAAGAUGAGGCUUUCACCCUCUAGCACUCUAGGAGCCAUGUCUUAGACUGCACACCUGCACUAGUGGAUAGUGCAUUAUGUUGCUAAUUAAAUUAUCUCCAUUAUGUUGCUAAUUAAAGGCGAGAUUAUAACCAGGAGGAAGAGUGAGUCUUUCCCUUCCAUUUGUGCCCUGUUUCUCCCAGGAGCAAGUGAGGGGGCAAGAGGAAGGGCUGUGAGUUUGGCAUCCAGCUGGUGUAUAGUGGUAGAGCCAUGGUUUUACAAAGAGGAAGCAUGGCAUCCUUCCCUCCAGCAGAAAAGUGGUGCUGGAGAGGAGCUGUUUCUCAGAGGCGUGUUUCUGAGACAUAGUCCCUCCUGGAGGGGCAUAAUACAUGCUCCACCUCUUGCUCAUGGCACUGCCUGAAGGCAAAAUCUCAGGCUCUGAAGCUUGUGCUCCCUUCCUUAAAAAUAAGUCAUAGUGGAAUUUGCACUGAAGCUGAUUAAAGCGUAUUGGACUCCCAUCGUGUGGCACAUAUAUAUAUUGUCUGUCACGUGGAAUGAUACUGGCCAUUGUAACUUGAGCAAAGCCAAAGAAACUGGAAAAUCAGGGGAAAGCCCGCUGUAGAAAUUCCAAGUGGGGUUACAAACCAUCCCCGGUUUUUGCUAUAACUCUCAGAGAGCUACAGCCUGCUUGCUGGUGACAAAACAAUGAAAAAUACCAUCACAAAUAACAGGUAUAAUUUUCUUUUCACUUCUUUCCCUAUUACAGUGAGUGAUACCAUGGGCCCAAAUGCUUUUCCUGGUAUAAAUGAUAGGAAAAAUCAAACUCAACAUUAAUUUGAUGAAAUACAGUGACAGAAGACAGGAUGGGCUGAGAUCAGUCCGUGCCUGAGCAACUGCAGGGAAACUGAGUGAGAGGAACGGAUCCAUCUGAAGAUAAUCUGGGGCACCCUAGCCUGUUCAAAAGUUUCUUCUGACACCAGUUAGCACGAUAAAUUCGUCCCUCUGCUGUGACCAAGAAUCACGGUGGUUACAGUAUUUAAUGCUUUUGUAUCCCCACAACAUUGAUACUUCAAUAAUUGUUCUUCAUUUGACUUCUUGAAUCCUGAUGUAGAGAAGAUCCCAGCAUGGGUUUGCACUUGAUUUCAUCUUUGGAUCUCUCACUGUGCAAAUCUGCAGUGAGACUUGGACUUGUUCCCAUGCACCAUUUUGUUCUCAAAGAUGCCUGAGCCGAUUCCUCAGCGCUAGCCAAAACAAAUGCGAAUCUUGGCUGCCUGCGUGGUAGCAGCAGCUGGUUUGCUAUGGCUCCCUCCACCUAGCACUGGGGCAGCUUUGACUUGAACAGAUGAAGAUGCCUUCCCCCCAGGAGGAGACCAGGAAACACUGGGGAGUGGGCAAAACUGAAAUGCUUUCACAUUAUUUUGAUGGGGCUCGAUAUGCAUUUGCUGCUAGUUGCUGUUUAUCGUAUGUAUGCAGCUUGGAUCCAUCCCAGCCCUUAUCUGCUGUAUGACUUUGGGCAAGUCACAUCACCUCUUUUUCUCCUUCUGCCACAUCCAAAUAAAAUGGACAUCACAGCUGGGGCGGUGUCUUGCUAUGUGUAUGUGCAGCCUAAUGCUAGGGUCCCUCAUAUGUGUUGGGACCUGUAGGUACUGCUCCUGCAAAUAAUAAUGUACAUUAUCCUC